UUUGAUUAAGGGUUAGGAUUUGGUUAGGAUUUGAUUUAGAGUUAGGAUUUGGUUAAGAUUUGAUUUAGGAUUAGAAUUUGGUUAGGAUUUGAUUUAGGAUUUGAUUAGGAUUUGAUUUAGAAUUUAGGAUUUGAUUAGGAUUUUAUUUAAGAUUUAAGAUUUUAUUUAGGAUUUAAGAUUUGAUUAGAGUUUAAUUUAGAGUUAGGAUUUGAUUUAGGAUUAAGAUUUGGUUAAGAGUUGUUUUAGAGUUUAGGAUUUGAUUUAGGAUUAGGAUUUAGUUAAGAGUUGAUUUAGAGUUUAGGAUUUGAUUAGGAUUUGAUUUAGGAUUUAGAAUUUUAUUAGGGUUUAUUUAGGAUUUAAGAUUUUGUUAGUUUUUGGCCUAAAGUUUGAAUGAAGUCUAAUAGAAUUUUAAGUAGGAUUAAAUUAAGAUUAAAUUGAGAUAUAUUUGAAAUAUAUUUGUAAUCAUUCUAAUAUUUCUUUAAGAUUUUUUUAUUA
rnacentral:lncRNA from 1 species